CCUACGGGUGGCAGCAGUGAGGAAUAUUGGUCAAUGGGCGCGAGCCUGAACCAGCCAAGUAGCGUGAAGGAUGACGGUUCUAUGGAUCGUAAACCUCUUUUAUAAGGGAAUAAAGUGCGGGACGUGUCCCGUUUUGUAUGUACCUUAUGAAUAAGGAUCGGCUAACGCCGUGCCAGCAGCCGCGGUAAUACGGAGGAUCCGAGCGUUAUCCGGAUUUAUUGGGUUUAAAGGGUGCGUAGGCGGCCUUUUAAGUCAGCGGUGAAAGUCUGUGGCUCAACCAUAUAAUUGCCGUUGAAACUGGGAGGAUUGGUGAUGUUUGAGGCAGGCGGAAGGCGGGGUGUAGCGGUGAAAUGCUUAGAUAUCACGCAGAACCCCGAUUGCGAAGGCAGCCUGCCAAGCCAUGACUGACGCUGAUGCACGAAAGCGUGGGGAUCAAACAGGAUUAGAUACCCCAGUAGUC
rnacentral:rRNA from 1 species